AAGGACCUUCCAUGGCGAAUUCAAAAGGGUAUAUAAAUGACAUAAAUUAAACUUGCAUGUCUUUUAUAGCUCAACCGAAAUGAAUGACAAACUUAGCAAACUUGACAAACCAUUUUAUACGGUCUGAAGAAAACUUAUACUUUUUUAAAAAUUGACCACUGGAUUCAAAUUAUUAUAAUUCUAAUUAACCAUUAUACCCUACAGACCGAUUAAAACACAAACGAGAAAAAUUCACAGGGCUAACGAUCGCAGAGAAGGCAAAUGAAAGUGCCAAAGACCAACAAAAUGAGGACACUCCCCUCGGAUCCAUGGUUAUUGAUGAUCAUGCUCAAGUUACUAGCCAAGCGAACAACCAGAGUAA